rnacentral:lncRNA from 1 species
GUUUUACAUAUGGGAGUCAUUGAAGAUUUCAUUUUUUAAAAAAAAAAUGACCUCAUUGUUUUUAAAACUUCAAAAAUCACGGGAAUAGAAAAACUCAUGCGCCUGGAUUAACCUUGGGAAAACAGAGAAGCAGUUAUAAAGAUGGUGUUUCUUCAGACUGAUAGUUUCUUUUCAAUUCCUCAAAAGGCUCUUUAAGUUCUAUCCCACCCUUGUGUGACCUUGGAAAUCGUUCCCUCCUCCCCAUACCUCCUACUCCUUGAGAAGUUGGGGGACACAUAGGUCAGAUUGAUUGGGUUACUCUCCUUCUACAGUUUUAUGUAAAUUCACCAAAGAACUAAGAUCUCUGUUCUGACAAGAAGUCACACAAGUCUAAAUAUUUCUUACAGACAGAGCUGACAAAAUUAAAAAGUAGUUUGGGUAAAAGAGACUCAUUAACUUCAAACGGGCGUUUGAUUCCCAAAGGGAAGACAUACUUCAUCAGUUGGAGCACUGUGAUGUCACAGAGGAACUUCAUUAGUGUGCCUGUUAGAAGGGAGCCAUGGGAGUGAGUAUAACGAAACGUAAAUAAUUGCCUAAUUAGGCGUCUGUGAAAACUGGAGAGUCUCCAAAGUUGUUAGAGAUGAACAUCUCGGCACGCAGCUUCUUAGACGAAAGGUUAAUGCUUCCACGACCCUCACUGCUGGAAGGUGGCUGGAAGAUUCCACACAGGUUCCCGGAAGACUGGUUAACCUGGAUGAAGCCAUUCAAGACAAUCAGGUGUGACAUCAUCCUCAUGAUUGGGGUCCUCUAGAGCAGUAGUUCUAGAACUUCUUGGGGUAAUUCCAGUAGAACAGAGAGCUCAGGAAUCAUCUCCACUCCUACUGAGGCAUAGGUGGAAACAGGCAUAGAGAGAGGAAACUUUAUCACAAGGAAUGAGGAAAAUGGAACUGAUCUUGAUGGAGGGCGUUCUCACUUCCUUCCCUGAAGAGUUGCUGACUCCUCCUUUAUGUCACAGACACUGCUCGAGAAUCUGCUUGGACCAUACUCAGGGAAAGGUAUGGGAGAGCAGCUCACCCUUUAGCCUAAAGUCUGACAUAUCUGCACAGAUCUGGAAAAACAAGGGUGUGCCCCUAGAAAUCUCUGCACAUGGAGCACUGAGGGGGGUAACUUACUAGGCAACAAGCCCCAGGAUGACAGAAGAGGGAAUAUUUGGAGGACACUGUGAUAUUGGUCUCUUGCGUCUGUCCCCAGCCUAUGGACACUUGUCUAGAUGCCCAUAGACUGGUGAUUAAGAGUAUGAGUUCUAGAGCUCAGUGCCUGGAUUCAAAUCUCAGUUCUGUCACUUUCUAGCUGCCUAGAGUGAGUCAGGUAACCUCUCCAGCCUCAGUGGAGAUGAUAACAAUAGUGUUCCUGCCUCAUGUGUCUGUCAUGAGGAUUAUACAAGCUAGUGUAUAUAAAGCUCCCAACAGUGCCUAUCAUACAAUAAGCACCAUAUAAUGUGUCAGCUAUUAUACUUGGGAAGAGAGACGGCAGUUAAGUAAAAACUGAAGAUCCUAUAAGGCCUUGGGGCACACACAGCACUAUUUCAGAACCACUAAAUUGAGAGAGAUAAAGAAAAGGUAUUCUUCCCAACUCUGCCAUUGACCAGAGGCAGCAUGGCACUUAGAAGUGGUGGCAUCCAUUGGAACUGGAAGCAACGCUAGUCCCUGCAGAAGGCUCGGGUGCUUGACAGAGGCAGCAGUGCUCAGAGAGAUCGAUUCUCAGCAGAGAUGGCAGCCGUGCCCAGCAGGAGCAAUGGUCAUCCCUGUGUGGUGUCUGUGGUACCCAGAGGUGGUGUUGCAAGACAUCCAAGGUGUCCGUUGAGUGCAGAACAAUGCAGUAGAAGUGACAGGGGAGCCUGGUCAAAGUGAGGACACCCAGUGGACACAUAACACUGUCAGCAAAGGCAGUGACGACAGCAUAAGAGGGGUCAAUACUCAGUAGAUUCCAUGAGGUAAGAUAUCAGCCUUACUCAUAUGCCUGUGGGAAAUAUUUCCUGGGGUCAGACAGAAAUACAUGGGAGGUGGGGCUUUGCCAGGAUGCAGAGGUCAUCUAGGAGUCCAACGUGACAAAUCCCUCAAAUUAUCAUUGGUGUGAUCUCGUUUUUACAGAAGGGGUUUCUGUACAGGUUUGGUUUCAGACAGGCUUGUACUCCAUUCAACUGAAAAUAGUUACUGAGCAUCUAUUCUGCGCCUCAGGCUCUGCUCCAGUUGGUGGAAACACCACAGUGAGCGAGGCAAAACGAUUCCUCCUCACAUAGAGCUCACCUUACACAGACAAUAAACAAGUAGGAAAACAAGUUAACGAGAUCUUU